AACAGGUCACAGAUGCCAGCUGGCUAAGCCCCUUAGCUUGUGACCAGAAGCACCCUUGACGUGAUGGGACUCCUGAUACUGACAUAGAAAAGCUUACUACACCUACACCUGGCUGUCUAAGCUCACUACCGCUCUCCUGCCAGUGACCACCUGGUGCUGCUACUGGUUUCUCGAUUUUGGAUUAUCCCGCAUAACAAUGGGCCAAAGGACAGUUUGGACCAGUUCCACUCCUGAGUUGCCAGGGACCGCUCUGCCUCUUGCCCUUCAGAGACAGUGGCUCUCCUCCCCAUCGUGCACACAUGGACGCAUGGCCACUCUGAACUUUUGUUAAUACACCUUUAAAACCUGAACUACAACACACCAAGGAGCGGGCUCGCUGAGAAGUAAAUGAGGGACGCUAGAAAGCCGAACCAGAGCGGAGGUCGUCUCGACUAGGGCCUGGCUUCAGAACGCGAAACGAAGCAGCGGCUGGGAGCUCAUCACUUUCUGUCAGUGAUACAGUAACCUGUUGCAUCUCAGAUGGGAUUAUAGGCUUUGGUGAGUGUAUUUAGAGCAGGAAAUGAGGGUCAUGCAAGUGUGUUGAA